GGGUGAACCAGGCAGUAACAGCCACGUCGUCGGAGGAAGAGGCGGACCAUUUUCAUUUUCAGUCCAGAGAGAAUGAAGUUCGACAUGCCUGAGACUGUGUUCUGAAGACGGCAUAGUUUCCUCGCGCACAUCACAAAUGAUUUCUAAACAUUACUAGAAUAUUUUGCGCCUUUUCUUCGGGAUCUUAAGGUGCAUACUGCCCUGUGUGAUAGGAUAACGAAGCACAGGUGAGGUCGCCACAUGCUGCUAUGCUGCUGUCCUGCCCGGGCAGUGGGGGCAGUGGGAAGGAGGCGGCCGCCUAGCAGACAGGAGAGCCGGGUCCAGCCUCCGUGAGCAUUAAUUAACGUGUGACUCAAAUGACGGGCCUGCAGCAGUGAAGCUUUUGCCAAGGCAGAAAAAUGGCCUUCCUAAGACAUCUGCAUCCUAAGUCCUGGAACUUGUAAAUGUGUCAUGUUGCAUGGCCUAUCUGUGUGGGCCAGGUGUAAUCAUGAGGAUCCUUAAAAGAGACAGAGGCAGAAGAAGAGAGAAGAUUAAUAUGAUGCAAGGUGAGGUGCACUUUACUGGCUUUUGCUGGUCACUAAGGUUGAACUGUGUCUCCCACUAAAAUAUGUAGAAAAUUCUUAACCCCUAGUACCUCAGAAUAUGAUCUUAUUCAGAAACAGAGUUUUUAAAAAUGUAAUCAAGUUAAAAUGAGGUCAUUAGGGUGGACUUUAAUCCAGUAUCACUGAUGUCUUUAUAAAAAAGAAAAUUGGGACACAGAGAGGCAAGCGCAGAUGAAAAUCCUAUGUGAAGACACAUAGGAAUAAUCUCAUGUGAAGGUGGAAGGAAUAAUCUCAUGUGAAGGUGGAAGGAAUAAUCUCAUGUGAAGGUGGAAGGAAUAAUCUCAUGUGAAGGUGGAAGGAAUAAUCUCAUGUGAAGGUGGAAGGAAUAAUCUCAUGUGAAGGUGGAAGAGGGAAUGAUGCACAUGCAAGCCAAGAAAUGCCAAAAAUUGCCAACAAACUGUCAGAAGCCAGGAGAGAGGCAUGGAAUUGAUUCCCUCUCACAACACUCAGAAUGAAUCAACUCUGCCAACACCUUGACUUCAAACUCCUAGCUUCCACAAUCUUAAGACAAUACACUUCUGAUAUUUUAAGACACUCAUUUUGUGGCACUUUGUUAUGGCAGCCCUAGGAAACCAACGCACUGACUUAAGAAGAAAGGUAGCGGGAAGUUGGGACCCAGUGAAUGUCAGCAGCUUCUAGAAGCUGGAAAAGGGAAGGAAAUGAUUCUCCUCUUGAGUCUGAAGAAAGGAGUACAGUCCUGCUGACACCUUUGUGUCAGCUUUGUGUCAUCAACACAAUGUUUGUGUCACCCCUAAAUACAUGUUGUAGCUCUGCCUUACAGCGUGUGACUGUUUUGGGGGCGAAAGGGUCUGUCAGGAGAUGAUAAAGGUUAAAUGAGGUCAUAAAGGUGGGGCCACAGCACUUGCACCCUUAUAAGAAGAAGAAGGGAUAUCAGCAUGCUCUGUCUCUCCAGACCAUGUAAGGGUACAGACAGAAGGUGGCCAACUGAAAGUUAAGGAGAGAGCUCUCACCAGAAAUCAAAUUAGCUAGAACCUUGAUCUUGAGCUUUCCAGCCUCUGGAGCUGUGGGAAAACACAUUUCUGUUGUUUGGGUCCCAGAGUCUGAUAUUUUGUUACGGCAGCCCAAGCUGACUGUGACUCCUAGCAAGAUCUAUAUUGGACUUUUGACCUCCAGAACUGUAAGAUAUAAAUCUGUGUUGUGAUGAGCCCUACAUUUUGGUAAUUUGUUACAGCAGCAACAGGACACUCACACUUCCCUGUGUUAAAUCUCUAGUGACAUCUUAGCUACCAUACAGAGUGGCGUCAUGACCAGCUGUGCCUUAGUUCAUCUUUUAAUUAUCUUAGCUUAUGACAUACUCUAACUAGAGCAUCUAUAUAGACCUUAGGUGAGAAAUGCAGAAAAAAGAGUGAUGGCCAAGAAUUAUACACACAAGGCCAUGCAGUUAAAGGCAUAGCAUUGCAUAAGCAUUAUUGCCUUCAUUUUAUAAGUUCAGGUUUACUUAUGUUGCUUUAAAAACAUGCUUUUAGAAGAUGAUUAUGAAAUAAUUCCCUUUAUUAGAAGAACCUGUUGCUUUGGUAACUUAAAAUUCUCUGAAUAUGAUGUUUCAGGAAAAAAAUGUCCAAUGAUAUGGUGAAUUAUUGCUAUUUGUGGAACAUUUCACAUCUAUAAUUUUAUGUGAAGAGCUAUAAAUUUUUUUCUACUGCCCUUGAAGCAUGCAUAAAGCAGGGAAUUAGCAUUUUGAAGGAGACCAAGGUAAAAAUAUAUCUUGACAAAAACUUAACAGAAAUAACCAACGUCGAAAAUGAUGUGAACUAAAGUAUACUUUACUAUCAACUGAUAGUUUUAGAGUAUUCAGUAAACCCAAAAACUAUGCACUCCUGGAAUUCAGUAACUUGUAGGCUUAGAAAGUUUGUAGCUUAAAUGUCCUUAGGUUUCUUCUAGUUCUGCCACUGAGUAGAUUUGAGCAAAUUUUAACUCUUUUCUAAAUGUUAGCAUCUUUAAACUUGUAAGUUAAAUUUUCAUUUUUAUAUUUUAACAUUAAACUCAUACUUAUGUAAAAGUUCUAUUUAUGUUGUUUGAUUUACCUAUGUAAAGUAUUUAGCACCAUACUGACACAAAAUGAUCUUAUUGCUUAGCUACUGUUAUUAUUAUAACUUUAACCUUCUGGGAGGAUAAUACACAAAAUAUUCUGGCUUAAAAUAAUUUCUAUUUAUUCAGCUUAGGAUUCUAC
rnacentral:lncRNA from 1 species